UACGUAGGGGGCAAGCGUUGUCCGGAAUCAUUGGGCGUAAAGAGCGUGUAGGCGGCCCGGUAAGUCCGCUGUGAAAGUCGAGGGCUCAACCCUCGAAUGCCGGCGGAUACUGUCGGGCUAGAGUCCGGAAGAGGCGAGUGGAAUUCCUGGUGUAGCGGUGAAAUGCGCAGAUAUCAGGAGGAACACCGGUGGCGAAGGCGGGUCUCUGGGCCGAAAUUGACGCUGAGGAGCGAAAGCGUGGGGAGCAAACAGG
rnacentral:rRNA from 1 species